AACAUAUAAAAAAAGGCAUGAUAUAUAUAUAUACUUCAACUGUUCAUGAGCCAUUUCAAGGAAAUGAUUCAGCAUUACCGAAAGACACAUGCAUGGGCAUUCAGGUGGAAACCUAUUGUCAAAGAAAAGGAGAAACCGAGCUUUCAUGGAGAAAAAUGAAGAAUCGUCUCACUUGCACUUCCUCAGCUUACUUGGCAAAUGAGCCACUUACACACAGCUGAACUUGAUCCAUAUUGAUUGAACUUCAUUUAUCUCCUCCAAGGAAAAAGUUCGACACAAUGGAAGACCUUGAAUUCCUAACUUUGCAGCUUCAGUAACAAACCCUGCAAGCAGGAAGCUUGGAAAUGAUAAGCAAUUCCCAUCUGCCUUAAGAGUUCGAUUAUCAGAUUCAAUGCCCAAGCAGGAAGGCAAUCCACCAGUAAGCAUAUUGCUAGAUAUA